GCCUUGCAAGCCAUUUAACUAUUGUUGACCCUAUACUAAAGAAAAUUAACGAUACACUUUGGCCAGGCCUAUUUACUCUUAAAGUUAUUUGGAUGUGAGAAGGUGUAUUAUCAAUGAAUUAACUGGGACAAUUACUUGAGUAAAUCUACGAUGACUAAAAUGACGAAAAUAAAACUGUACAAUUUGUAAACUGUCACAUAGUCGGAAAAAAAGGGUUUUACUGGGGGUUUUUAACUGUACUGAAUGUAACACGGAAUGUAAAAUGGUUUAGUUUCAUUUUAUCACGUAGGUAGGCACUUAGAUCGCAAAUACCGCAACACGACACUUCCGAGGACUAUAUGUAUUUAUACGAAAUACGAAUAUUCUUUGUUCUAGAGCAGUCUAGAGGUUUGGUUUGAUGGGAUUCCGAAAUCAUCUCUAAAUGUUGUCUACGAAAUUCGCUUUUAUUAGAUACAAAAAUAAGCGACAAUAACCACUAUCAGAUUUAUAUAGGAAGAUAUUUAAAACAAAAACUCAUCAUUAUCGCAAUCAAUAUCGAAUCAAUACAGAAAGUGAUUAAAAUAGAUAAGGAGAAAUCAAAGAAGAGUAAGAAAAUGUAUAUCAGUGUUUCUAGAAUUCCCGUUUAAUUUAACUACUAUAAAUCAAAAAAAAAAAUUAAAAAAAAUUAAAAUUAAAAAAAGAAACUCUUUUGUCUGUUUCCCGGAACAGAUUUCCAUGAAACUUUUACUGGUAGUUUUUUUUUUUUAAUUUAUGUAGUUAUUCGUUAAAAAUAUUAUAUUAUUAUGUAUAUUUUCUAUAUUCCUGGCCUGGCUGCUAAGGAAAUACAACGAAAGUGGACUAGUAGAUCUACAUUACAUACUAAUGAUAAUAAAGAAAAAUUUACAAUUAGCAGCUAUUAAUAUAAAGUUUAUAUUUCUAAGCUCAAUAAGGAACCAGACAGAUCUUUUUCAAAAUGCACACACUCAACUGCACAAAGACUGGACACAAUUUCAUUACACAUGACGUCACUUGGGGUCAAAUAAACGACGAUCUGACCAUCACACUCUAACAGACAACGAUUGGCUAAAUAAUAUGUAAUAGUACGUUAUCAUUGGUGUUUAGCGAACGUAUAAAGAUAACAACUCUAUACUUCACGAAAGUAGUAAUUGAAUGGUUGUUUUAAUAAAAUCUCUUAUGCAAAUUA